AGUCGAGCGAACAGACGAGGAGCUUGCUCCUCUGACGUUAGCGGCGGACGGGUGAGUAGCACGUGGAUAACCUACCUAUAAGACUGGGAUAGCUUCGGGAAACCGGAGCUAAUACCGGAUAAUAUAUUGAACCGCAUGGUCCAAUAGUGAAAGACGGUUUUGCUGUCACUUAUAGAUGGAUCCGCGCCGCAUUAGCUAGUUGGUAAGGUAACGGCUUACCAAGACAACGAUGCGUAGCCGACCUGAGAGGGUGAUCGGCCACACUGGAACUGAGACACGGUCCAGACUCCUACGGGAGGCAGCGGUAGGGAAUCUUCCGCAAUGGGCGAAAGCCUGACGGAGCAACGCCGCGUGAGCGAUGAAGGUCUUCGGAUCGUAAAACUCUGCUACUAGAGAAGAACAAAUGUGUAAGUAACUAUGCACGUCUUGACGGUACUUAAUCAGAAAGCCACGGCUAACUACGUGCCAGCAGCCGCGGUAAUACGUAGGUGGCAAGCGUUAUCCGGAAUUAUUGGGCGUAAAGCGCGCGUAGGUGGUUUUUAAGUCUGAUAUGAAAGCCCACGGCUCAACCGUGGAGGGUCAUUGGAAACUGGAAAAUUUGAGUGCAGAAGAGGAAAGUGGAAUUCCACGUGUAGCGGUGAAAUGCGCAGAGAUAUGGAGGAACACCAGUGGCGAAGGCGACUUUCUGGUCUGUAACUGACGCUGAUGUGCGAAAGCGUGGAGAUCAAACAGGAUUAGAUACCCUGGUAGUCCACGCCGUAAACGAUGAGUGCUAAGUGUUAAGGGGUUUCCGCCCCUUAGUGCUGCAGCUAACGCAUUAAGCACUCCGCCUGGGGAGUACGACCGCAAGGCUGAAACUCAAUGGAAUUGACGGGGGA
rnacentral:rRNA from 1 species